rnacentral:rRNA from 1 species
ACUCUUGAUGAUUGCAUGACGGAGGCAGCCACAUUUCAGAUGCCUCCUGCCCUAAGACGGUUAUUUGCAACUAUACUGGUGUUUUGCGAGGCAACAGAAAUCCGGCAGCUGUGGGACAAACACCUGGCAUCAAUGUCUGAGGAUUACCGGCGUAAUCAAUCCAAUGAGGCAACACUUGAGCAGAUGGUCCUCAGAGAUAUCAGGGAUAUGUUGCAAUCCAUGGGAAAAGAUAUUACAAGCUAUGGACUUCCGGAUUUGGUUGAGAACGAUGGUUCUUCUGACGGUGAGUACAAAGAUGUAACAGAGGAGAGGCAAGUCAGUGUGGACAAAGAACACCUAGAUUUAUUUAGUAGUUUGAACAAUGAACAGUUGGCUGGUUUCAAUGAAAUAAUGGAUCAUGUGAUGGAACACAAAAGCCAGAUAUUCUUU